AGCUCCGAGGGCGGGCGCGGGGCGGUAGCCGCGCUGAGCGGGCCCCGGGGGACACGCGGUCCCGACCCCGGGGCCGUCCGGGUGGGACAGGACGCCCCGGGCGGUGUGUCCGCCCCAGCGCCGCGCCGCCAGAGGGUCUGCCGGGCCCGGGCCCCGCUGUUACCUGGGGCUGUGCUCUGCAAGCCUUUCCCUUCUCUUUUAUUUUGUUUUCUUCGCACAGCCAGACUGCAGCUCGUGAGAAGUAUGCGAGGCGUGGGGUUGUGGUUUUUUGUGGUUUUUUUUUUUUUUGGUCAGCGUUUGUAAGCCCUAGUCGCGCCCCUGCAAACUGAGAACUUCCUUUAUGGGGAAGAUUUUUCUCACGUAAGGGCUGCAGAUACUGGGUUGUAAAGAUUUUAACAACAACGUAUAGAGGAACAGAUUCCAUAAUCUUAAAGUUUGUUUAAAACACAAAGUCUUUGUUUUAAAAGAACUUUCAGAACCUUAGGAAACAAAAAAUAUAAACCCUUAAGAGUCAGUUAAACCUUUAGAAGUAAAUCUCUAUUUCUUUUCACAAGCAUUCUUACACGUGUUUACACUGUGAAGUAUUUUGGUGGAAGGAUCCUGGUCCAUGCCUGGGCAGUAUUGAAGCUAUUAAGAUGGCCUGAUAGGGUACCUAGAGAUUCUCCUGCCUUGGAGAGCCUUUUGUUAAUGUAGAGCUGCUGUGGCUGUUUUCUGCCUCCUUCCCUGUGGUUGGUGUUGCAUAAAGUAAAUACGGUGUGGCCAGAGCACAGGUGAGCUUUGACCAGCGCUGCAUGCUCAGAUGGUUUCUGGCCAAUGGUCAGGGGCCAUUCAAUUUAAGGAAGCUUAAUAGCCUUUUGAAUAAUCAGGGUGCUGUGCUGGCCCCUGGCAGAACUCAUGGUCAGAGCAGGUACAAAAUGGCAAUCUUUAUGAUUCCCACCCCUUAUUCUCUCAAAUUCACAGUCAGCUCAACAGUUCCUGAGAGUCUCCAUCAUAAUUAUUGGGUAAAUAAAAAGCGAAAAGAGGGAUGGAUCCCGUGUCUAGGAGGUUGGCCUGUCAUGUGAAGGUGUUUGUAAGUGCCCAUACAGCUUGUGUAUUUGCACAGAAAGCCAGGCGGAGUGCAGGUAAAUAAUUGCUGCUAAAUGCUAUUACUUUCAGUAAAUACAAACUAAUAUUUGCUGCUCAUCACAGUGUUUACUGAAGAAGCCAGAAGAACCAGAACCAAUGUUUGUUCCCAAAGAGGAUUUCAUGCCAGCUGCCAGAAAUACAUCUACUCAUCUCUUUCCCUGUAAUGGUUCUCUGCCUCCUCUUGGCAUAAAUGUUUUGGAUAAUAUAACCCUUUACUAUUUGUCUUUGCAUCUUACCUCUAUUUCCACAAGGGAAAAAAAAUGCAGAAUAAUAAAUAAGAAAUGUUAAAAUGGGUAUAAACAGAAGUAUAUGCCUGCAAAAGGCAUAAAAGAGAUUAAGCAUAAUUUGCUAUUGUAAUGUUGCCUCUGGUCUAAUCAUUUCCUUUGGAGAAAAGUGAGCACAGAGCUAAAAUGCAGUCUAAUGACCCAGCUGACAUAUUUCCUUAUGCUAGUAGUUUAGAUCAGAACGAGCUCCAGCUCCUGGUAAGUUACAUAUGUGAUUCAUUAGAUUUCACCUAAGUCAAAAGUUAACGUGUUGUAACACUUGUUUUAAAAGAUAAAAUAUGCAAUCCCACAGGAAGCCGGCUACUAUAGAAGACGGCUGGAAACAUUCCCUGGACAGAUGCAUAGCUUAUAUUCAGAUUUAUCAAUUAAAAAAUGCUCCAAAAGAAGUUCUGCAUGUUAAAGACCUGGAGGGGAGGAGAAGAUUCAAAGCCAGAAGAAAUGUUUCAGAAGCAUUGGUGGGUAGUGCACAGGAAUAAGGAGUGUUCUGCAGUCAGGUUAGCAAAGGAAAGCCUUUAGCUGGACAUGGAUUUUGUAUCUACUAGGCAGCCAAAAACAUCUGGGAUAUCUUCUUUGCAGGUAUUAUCAUAACAAUCUUUCAUGCUUUUCCUGACAAAUUUUAGGUAUAACAAAUAUUUGCAAGAACUUAUGGUUUUAUCCCAGUUGUUUUUAAUUUAGCGAAGUUCUUUGUUCUCAUGGAGGUGUUAAAUAAAUUACAACAAAAUAAAUCUCCCACACAUAA